GAAGGUCGGUGAAUGAAUCUUUGUUGAUUUGUCGUACUCUUUAUUUUUGUGGUGAAAGUGGUGUGUGUGCUUUUAAGGUAGAUAGCUGGUUUAAUAACACCUCUAACGUGUACUGUAAUACUGGGAAUUGUAACACCCUUAUCAUAUGAACCACGUGCGUUGCACUGAACUUGACCUCGAAACUGUCAUGGGAUCGCUUGCUACAUGCUCUUCUCUGAGUCAGCGCCUGGAUUGGUUUGAGGUUAAUUCCAUGCAAGUGGACAGUCGUGCUCAAGAGAAUUUCGAUCAGUUAGAGCGUUUACUGGAGUUCGAUAUGCACGGAAGAACACAAAAGAAUCGUCUCUGGCAAAACUCAGCACCCCAGACAAGUGACGUCGAAACGCAGUACAUGUUUUAAGUGUCCUGGGCGCAGUAACAUGGUGCGUCAGUUGCAGGAGCACAUGGCUCGUAUCACGGGUCAAAGCGUCUGGUCUGUGCACGAAGAUCAUUAAAGUGUUCUGACAAGCCAGAGCUGAUGUGCUUCCUCCAGUAGUUAGACGUCCUUGAGAAUUGCAUAACAGUCCGAAAGCCUUCAACUUCUUCAGCAGGUCAAUACGAACAUCAGCGCGACAGGUUUGUACCGUGCAGUUGCCUGAUGGUGACGCAGUUUAUCCUAACAGGCCACGACCACAUUUUUUCUAUAUUUAUUUUUGUUUCUAAAUAUAUCAUCUUUCGACCCCAAAUUAUGUAAUUAAUGCGUGUCUUUAAAUAACUUACAU